AACCCAUGGUGAGGACAGUCUCUCAUUAAUUCCUUAUAUCUCUCUCAUGCUUCAAAGAGUGAUUCACCGUCCAUAUUCCUGAAGCAGGUAAUUUGGUUUAUUAACUGU